rnacentral:rRNA from 1 species
CACGUAGGGUGCGAGCGUUGUCCGGAAUUAUUGGGCGUAAAGAGCUCGUAGGCGGUCCGUCACGUCGGGAGUGAAAACUUGGGGCUUAACCCCAAGCCUGCUUCCGAUACGGGCGGACUAGAGGUAGGCAGGGGAGAACGGAAUUCCUGGUGUAGCGGUGAAAUGCGCAGAUAUCAGGAGGAACACCGGUGGCGAAGGCGGUUCUCUGGGCCUUACCUGACGCUGAGGAGCGAAAGCGUGGGGAGCAAACAGG